GACCGUAAUCCGAUCCCUCCC
rnacentral:misc_RNA from 1 species